rnacentral:rRNA from 1 species
UACGGAGGGUGCGAGCGUUAUCCGGAAUCAUUGGGUUUAAAGGGUCCGUAGGCGGUUUAGUAAGUCAGUGGUGAAAGCCCAUCGCUCAACGGUGGAACGGCCAUUGAUACUGCUAGACUUGAAUUAUUAGGAAGUAACGUAGAAUAUGUAGUGUAGCGGUGAAAUGCUUAGAGAUUACAUGGAAUACCAAUUGCGAAGGCAGGUUACUACUAAUGGAUUGACGCUGAUGGACGAAAGCGUGGGUAGCGAACAGG